rnacentral:tRNA from 1 species
GUUUCUAUAGUUGAAUAACAACGGUGGUUUUUCAUGUCAUUAGUCUAGGUUAAACUCCUGGUAGGAAUU